GAUGAACGCUGGCGGCGUGCUUAACACAUGCAAGUCGAACGGUGAACGAGGGAGCUUGCUCCCUCCGGAUCAGUGGCGAACGGGUGAGUAACACGUGAGCAAUCUGCCCUGGACUCUGGGAUAAGCGUUGGAAACGACGUCUAAUACCGGAUACGAGGCGUGGGGGCAUCCCCAACGCCUGGAAAGAACUUCGGUCCAGGAUGAGCUCGCGGCCUAGCAGCUUGUUGGUGAGGUAACGGCCCACCAAGGCGACGACGGGUAGCCGGCCUGAGAGGGUGACCGGCCACACUGGGACUGAGACACGGCCCAGACUCCUACGGGAGGCAGCAGUGGGGAAUAUUGCACAAUGGGCGCAAGCCUGAUGCAGCAACGCCGCGUGAGGGACGACGGCCUUCGGGUUGUAAACCUCUUUUAGCAGGGAAGAAGCGAAAGUGACGGUACCUGCAGAAAAAGCACCGGCUAACUACGUGCCAGCAGCCGCGGUAAUAC
rnacentral:rRNA from 1 species